rnacentral:rRNA from 1 species
UGCUGGCGAGUGCCUAAUACAUGCAAGUCGCGUCGAAUGGAUUAAGAGCUUGCUCUUAUGAAGUUAGCGGCGGACGGGUGAGUAACACGUGGGUAACCUGCCCAUAAGACUGGGAUAACUCCGGGAAACCGGGGCUAAUACCGGAUAACAUUUUGAACCGCAUGGUUCGAAAUUGAAAGGCGGCUUCGGCUGUCACUUAUGGAUGGACCCGCGUCGCAUUAGCUAGUUGGUGAGGUAACGGCUCACCAAGGCAACGAUGCGUAGCCGACCUGAGAGGGUGAUCGGCCACACUGGGACUGAGACACGGCCCACACUCCUACGGGAGGCAGCAGUAGGGAAUCUUCCGCAAUGGACGAAAGUCUGACGGAGCAACGCCGCGUGAGUGAUGAAGGCUUUCGGGUCGUAAAACUCUGUUGUUAGGGAAGAACAAGUGCUAGUUGAAUAAGCUGGCACCUUGACGGUACCUAACCAGAAAGCCACGGCUAACUACGUGCCAGCAGCCGCGGUAAUACGUAGGUGGCAAGCGUUAUCCGGAAUUAUUGGGCGUAAAGCGCGCGCAGGUGGUUUCUUAAGUCUGAUGUGAAAGCCCACGGCUCAACCGUGGAGGGUCAUUGGAAACUGGGAGACUUGAGUGCAGAAGAGGAAAGUGGAAUUCCAUGUGUAGCGGUGAAAUGCGUAGAGAUAUGGAGGAACACCAGUGGCGAAGGCGACUUUCUGGUCUGUAACUGACACUGAGGCGCGAAAGCGUGGGGAGCAAACAGGAUUAGAUACUCUGGUAGUCCACGCCGUAAACGAUGAGUGCUAAGUGUUAGAGGGUUUCCGCCCUUUAGUGCUGAAGUUAAACGCAUUA